rnacentral:rRNA from 1 species
AUUGAACGCUGGCGGCAUGCCUUACACAUGCAAGUCGAACGGCAGCGCGGGGCAACCUGGCGGCGAGUGGCGAACGGGUGAGUAAAAUAUCGGAACAUACCCUAGAGUGGGGGAUAACGUAGCGAAAGUUACGCUAAUACCGCAUACGCACUAAGGUGGAAAGUGGGGGAUCUUCGGACCUCAUGCUCAUGGAGUGGCCGAUAUCUGAUUAGCUAGUUGGUGAGGUAAGGGCUCACCAAGGCGACGAUCCCUAGCUGGUCUGAGAGGAUAAUCAGCCACACUGGAACUGAGACACGGUCCAGACUCCUACGGAGGCAGCAGUGGGGAAUAUUGCGCAAUGGGCGAAAGCCUGACGCAGCGACGCCGCGUGGGUGAUGAAGGCCUUCGGGUCGG